GAUGAACGCUGGCGGCGUGCCUAAUACAUGCAAGUCGAGCGAACAGACGAGGAGCUUGCUCCUCUGACGUUAGCGGCGGACGGGUGAGUAACACGUGGAUAACCUACCUAUAAGACUGGGAUAACUUCGGGAAACCGGAGCUAAUACCGGAUAAUAUAUUGAACCGCAUGGUUCAAUAGUGAAAGACGGUUUUGCUGUCACUUAUAGAUGGAUCCGCGCCGCAUUAGCUAGUUGGUAAGGUAACGGCUUACCAAGGCGACGAUGCGUAGCCGACCUGAGAGGGUGAUCGGCCAGACUGGAACUGAGACACGGUCCAGACUCCGACGGGAGGCAGCAGUAGGGAAUCUUCCGCAAUGGGCGAAAGCCUGACGGAGCAACGCCGCGUGAGUGAUGAAGGUCUUCGGAUCGUAAAACUCUGUUAUUAGGGAAGAACAAAUGUGUAAGUAACUAUGCACGUCUUGACGGUACCUAAUCAGAAAGCCACGGCUAACUACGUG
rnacentral:rRNA from 1 species